CGUAGGGUGCGAGCGUUAAUCGGAAUUACUGGGCGUAAAGCGUGCGCAGGCGGUUGUGUAAGACAGGCGUGAAAUCCCCGGGCUCAACCUGGGAACUGCGCUUGUGACUGCACGGCUAGAGUACGGCAGAGGGGGGUGGAAUUCCGCGUGUAGCAGUGAAAUGCGUAGAGAUGUGGAGGAACACCAAUGGCGAAGGCAGCCCCCUGGGUCGAUACUGACGCUCAUGCACGAAAGCGUGGGUAGCAAACAGGAUUAGAUACCCUGGUAGUCCACGCCCUAAACGAUGUCAACUAGGUGUUGGGAGGGUAAAACCUUUUAGUACCGGGGCUAACGCGUGAAGUUGACCGCCUGGGGAGUACGGCCGCAAGGUUA
rnacentral:rRNA from 1 species